UACAGAGGUCCCAAGCGUUGUUCGGAUUCAUUGGGCGUAAAGGGUGCGUAGGCGGCGCGGUAAGUCGGGUGUGAAAUCUCGGGGCUUAACUCCGAAACUGCAUUCGAUACUGCCGUGCUUGAGGACUGGAGAGGAGACUGGAAUUUACGGUGUAGCGGUGAAAUGCGUAGAUAUCGAUAAGGAAGACCAGUGGCGAAGGCGGGUCUCUGGACAGUUCCUGACGCUGAGGCACGAAGGUCAGGGGAGCAAACGGG
rnacentral:rRNA from 1 species